rnacentral:snRNA from 1 species
GUGCUUGCUUUAGCAGCACAUAUACUAAAACUGAAAUGAUACAGAGAAGAUUAGCAUGGCCCCUGCGCAAGGAUUACAUGCAAAUUUGUGAAGUGUUCUGUAUUUCU